rnacentral:lncRNA from 1 species
GGAACCUGUGGUGCAAUGCCUCGGCCGUGACUGCUAGGUGUCGGCACGAGGAAGCUUGAACGGAAGGGCGCUGCUACUCGCCGAGACCCGAGAGGACUGUGCCGCGAACCCUCCACGCCCGCCGCCGCUAUCUCCCACGACGAAGGUCUCUGGUCGCUCUCCUUCGACGCCGGGGUCGCUGCCGUGCGCAGCCAUCGAUGGAGCUUGUCUUCUCCGUGCGCCUGUACGUGAGAAUGGGAACAAGGCGACUGUGUGUUCGCAACAGAAGAAAAGAAAGAUUGUGUUCAUAUCUGAUUGAUUUUGGUGGGUGGGAUUAUGUGCAAAAAUAACAUAAUCUGAAACCCAUAAUAUGGAGAGAUUAUAAUCUGAAACAAACUGGGUCCAAGUCAAUUUUUUUUGACUUCACCAUUUCAAUACAAAAGAGAGAAGUGUUUUUUAAACAAAAGUCAUUUCCUAAAAUACUGUUUGGUACAACUUAUGCGAAAAAAAGUGAAGCCAGCCCUUCCAAUAAGGUCUUUCCAAUAAGAUCCUUAAGAGAUAUUUGUUUAGGAUUAUAUAAUCUAGACAUAUUAUAAUUUUAAACAAACACCAAUUUAGUUACAUAUUUAGCUUUUAAAUACCUUAUCAGCUUGCGCAAUUUAGAAAAUCGUUAAUGCUAAAUGUGUAACUAAUGUGCGAGAAAGCUCGCUUGCACGCUUGUACCUAAGACUUGCUUUGUAUAACACUCAUUACCAAUGGAGACAAUUUCUUUGAAGCCAAUAUAAAAAAUUUGAAUCCUAGAUUAACUAGGGGUGGGCACUUUUUUACCAUAAACCGAACCGAAUUUUUGGUUUUCUCGGUAGUUCGGUUCGGUUUCAGUUUUUGUAUAUAAGAAGUUCGUUUUUCGGUAUCGUAAUCGGUUUUCACCGUAUACCGAACCGAAAUAACAAAAAAACCGAAUACCAAACUUUAUCAAUUCUCAUAUUUGACUAUUAGAUUAUGUGAACUAAAUGUGUGAUACAAUUAAAUUAUUAUUCACUUAUUUGUAUGUGAUGUAUGAUAUAUCUCUAAAUAUUUGUGCCUAUAUAAUUUUUAUUUUUUAAAAUUAUGUGUAAUCUAUCAUGUAAACUUGCUGUAUGUAUUGCCUUGAGUAUAAGUUUGGUAUUCGGUUUUUACCGAAAAACCGAAGUAAAAAACCGAAACCGAAUUUCUCAGUUUUUCAUUUUCUAGAAAACCGAUCGGUUUCUAAUGUAUGAAGAACCAAAGUUUUUUAAAACCGAAAAACCGAACCGAAGUUUAGAAAAAAAAAACUGAAUGCCCAGCCCUAAGAUUAACCAUCAGAAAGCUUGUUAUGGCUCAUGUGCCAUUAGACAACAUUUUUUUUGGCCUUAGCACCACUGCCGUUAACUUUGUUAGUCAAAGUUGUCGUUAUAGAUGGAGACAGAGUUAGCAUUUAUCUCAAAUAUUGAUUUAUCUAUGAGUAAUAUUCACCGAGUAAAAAUAGACAUGCACCCAAUAGAAAAAUAAGCCCAACAACUAAGCCUAACUCUCUAAACCCUUUUAAGCAUUUAUCCACCCAACCUAGGUAGCUAGCCACCAGCCGCGCCGUCCACCCCAUCCAAGUGCCACUUUGUUUUUGUUGUUUUGCAUGGUUAAACAAUGUUUUUUUGUUAGAUAUUAGAUUUUUUUGUGAUAUAUUGUUAUUAGGUGUCGUGUAGUUGUUAAUAUUCUAUAAAAUAUAAUAUAAUCAUAUUUUCUAUUGAAGAUAGGGAUCUAUUGAGACCUAAUACUUGAAGAGGAUGGGCAUAAGAUGAAUCCUAUAUCUAUGAUGAGUAUAAGUAUGAGAAUAAAGAUAGAUAUAACUUCAUGAGGAUGGAUAUAAUUGUCUAAACCCAGCGAGAAAUUUCAUAUUAAGGAUUAGUUUGUGAGCUAAAAUACCUGAGGGAUUGGAGGGAGAAAAUCACUUUCUUAUUUAAAAUUGAAUAAGAAGAAAUUUUUUGCCCCUAUAAUUCGUCUGAUUUUGUGAGUUCCAAACUAGCCUUUAACAUUUCUAACACUUACCGUGAUUUUGGGUUUGCUGUACACGGUCCAAGCGCAGACUCCUCUCCCAGGCCGCCGCACAGACUCUCUCCCACGCCGCCCUCCAUCAACGG